rnacentral:rRNA from 1 species
GUCUUUAAGAUAUUAAUUUAAAGUCUAAUCUGCCCCCUGAAGAAUUAAAUGGCUGCAGGAUUUUUACUGUACUAAGGUAGCAUAAUAAUUUGUUUUUUAAUUAAAAACUAGAAUGAAAGAUUGAUUGAAAUAUAAGCUGUUUCAGUUAAAUAUUUAUUAAAUUUUUUAUUUAAGUAAAAAAACUUAAAUUUAUAUUAAAGACGAUAAGACCCUAUAGAAUUUUAUUUAAUUAUUAUUAUAUAAUAAUAAUUAAAUUUUAUUGGGGUAAUAAAAAAAUUAAAAUAAUUUUUUUUAAAAAAAAUAUUUUUAAGUAAAUUAUAUAUCUUAAUUUUUAAAAUUAAUAAUUAAUUACCUUAGGGAUAACAGCAUAAUUUUUUUUAAAAGAUCAUAUUAAUAAAAAAGAUUAU